UACGGAGGGGCUAGCGUUGUUCGGAAUUAUCUGGGACGGUAAGCGCACGUAGGCGGCUUUGUAAGUUAGAGGUGAAAGCCCCAGGGCUCAACCCUGGAAUUGCCUUUAAGAACUGCCAUCGCUUGAACAUCGGAGAGGUAAGUGGAAUUCCGAGUGUAGAGGUGAAAUUCGUAGAUAUUCGGAAGAACACCAGUGGCGAAGGCGACUUACUGGACGAUUGUUGACGCUGAGGAGCGAAAGC
rnacentral:rRNA from 1 species